rnacentral:lncRNA from 1 species
UUUUUCUAAGUGAUAAAUUUAUUUUUCCUUAAAUAAGCACAAACUGCAAUAACCAAAUGCCACAGUGGUUUAUGCUGAUUCUCUAGCAUGUAAAAACUGACACUAAAAAGAGGUUAUAGAGAGAUCUCUACCUAUAUGACUAAGGUGAUUGGUGUAUCUUCAGGACAAACAGAUUUUGUGCUGGUUUGAGUGACUGGGUGUUUUUCAGGCAAUGUGUCUUAAAUUUUAGUCAUCUCUGAACUGAGCUGUAAAAUGUGCUAACUGCCAUCACAGUAAGUCUGUUCCUGGAAAGAAAAGGAUGGUGAUAAUAGCAGAAAGAUCAGAAUUCCUAGAGGAAAAAAGUGAUCUUCUUCCCAUCUUGUUAGUGCUUUGAUUUAUAAGAAAUACAUGUACUAAAUGGAUGAUACUGAAUUCUUUUUGAGUUAGUAAUGGUUUAUGAACCAACUCCUAAACCCAAAGGUUGGGUAGAUUCAGUUGCAGUUUAUGGUGACAUGGCUGUUGGCAACAGUGGAGUUGGAUCUGCCUUUGUCAGCAGAGAAGGUGACCCACUUGUUUGAGGAAUCCUGGGUUUAAUGGAGUAGAACAUCCAUGUUUCACCUAUCAUAUAUAUAUCUUUAGCUCUCAUAGCUAGACUUGAGCUUCUGUGAGAACUGCUUUAAAUUGAGUGGUGUGGAAAUAGUCUUAAAUGUGGAUAGCCUAUUGCAGUGUUAAUUUCGGUGUCAUAUAGGAGUCACUUAGAGACUAAGUGGGUAGCAUAGACUAAAACCAGAAAAUUAACAGGAUCAGUCAUAACUUGAAUUGCACUCUGGGGCAUAAAUACCCUAUAAAUAAGCAAGUUAGUCUACUUAUAAACUAGGACUGGAGUAGAGUAAACCAGGAAAUGUGGGGUUUAGAAUGUAUUUUGCUUUAAUAGAGAUCUUGAAAUCUAGUGUGUAGGAAAUGAAAGGAUACACAGUAUAGACAGCAUAACUUAUGUCUUAACACUGAUGGAACUUUUUUUCUCAUUUCUUUUUUAAGAAGCUUCUAUUUAGAUGGGGUCCUUUGUCCAUUAUAUCAAAACUGUUUUGCUGUCUGAGGCAGCAUUAUGUUCUUUGACAAGGGCUGAUUGCAGCUUUGUAGCUGAGAGCAGCUUAUUAAAAGGCAUUAUUAGACAGUCUAAAAUUAUUGAAAACAAAACAGUCCCUGGGGACUGUAGCUGCCUUCUUUUCCUUUCUGCUCAUUACUGGUGCUAAGUAACUCUUCUCUCCCCACACCGCCCAGCUUGCUUGUGGCAUUAGUAUGUAAAUGGAAUCUCUCAGCACUCCCACAGAUCACAGUAAGUUUACAGUACAAUGAUAUGGAAAUCUUUUCCCUUGUAGUUUGAGGUGUACAUUUCCUGGAGAAACGCUUUUUAUUGAUUUGCUAAUAUUUCAGGACUUUUGCAGUUUCUGUGCUGCAGGCAGUUGUAAAAUUCCUAUUAAAUACAUCUUUGACUGAAUAUCUUUGUAAUGUUGUGCUCCUUCUGUUCUUGAAAAGAUCUCUCGUGAUUUAGAUGGACAGAGAUGAGAUUGACAUCAGUGACCAAUAUUAUUCCAAGAUUCACUGUGCCAGGCCAGACUUCCCUUCUCAAAAGUUGUGAAGGGUCAGAAAACUCCAACCCAGAGCCUGGAUAUGUUCUGCACAAUGCCCUGACUGUAAAGAAUAGUUUGCUGCUUGAUAAUGUUUAAGAUCAUGUCUCAACAUGCCUCCAAAACUGGGUCAGUAGUAAUCGCAGAUGUACUGGAAACCAUCAGGCAGAACCACCUGCAAAUCCUGUGGACAGAAGUGUUAAUGUCUGGGUAAAUAGCUUUUCUUUUAAUUGUCCAGUUAAUAUCCUUUUAAGGUGGAGAUUGAAAUGAAGUUCUGGAAUGUUAUAAAAGUGUGUGCUUUGCAACUUCAUAAAUACCAAAUUUAGUCUGGGAACGCUUCUGGUUUUGAAUAAAGUCUGCAGCUUGGAAGG